CAUCGGUGCAGGGGGUGGUGGUUGCGGGUUGCAUCGCAGUGAGUGGCAGACCCCCUGAGCUGUGUUGUGGGUCGAUUCACGGCGAGCGGAGAACGCCGGUGAACUUCAACGUAAGAUCUAAUGUUAUAUGCAAUGCUUCCCUUGGCGUGAGAAAGUGCUCACGUGGUGAGGCUUUGGCUCUGUCUUUCAAGUACAGCGUGUUGACCUUGAUCGUUGGAGAGUCAGCUUCAUUGUAACAUUGACCCGGCAUUUUCAUUCAAUCCACUUAAUGCCUUAUGAUGGUAUCCUUUUAGUCUUGUGAAUUCUCAUCAAUAGUUUUUGUGUUGCAGACAGAGACGAAUCAGCAUAGCUCGCCUGCGUCAUCUUACAUGAUUUGAAUCAAACCAGGCCUUUACCCGAUUCCUUGGAGAAGUUCAGACCGAUGAAAAUUCAUAUCUAAAAAACUUGAUUUGAAACUCCCCUUGUACAUACUCUCCCUAAAACAAACUGCACUCUUGUAUAUAGCUGGAUAUCUUUAUUCUCGUGUCCUGUCCAUGUAAUGUACUACUUGCUUAUGAAUGCUUCCUUCUAUUGGAGUCAUCUAGCAGAUCAUAUCCGGAAUUGUUGUACUGCAAGAAUGAUUGAUGUCACCUAAGUGACAUUUUGUAAUUCACAUUUUUUAUGUCCCAUCGUAUACCAUAUUUUA